AUGUGGCUGAGCAGACUCAACUUUCUGGAAUACCAAAAACAUUGCUGUGUAAGAUUGAUAUUAGAGAUCCCAUUGACAAGGACUACUGCACAGAAAUAGCAAGGAGAUAAAAUUGGCGGGUAGUGUUCGAUGCAUCAGGGAUCGAUUUAUCACAUCUCAUCUGGACGCGAUAAAUUGAUCACCAAAUCGACGCCUGUCAGGAGGAGUAAGUGGAGUCGACGGUGGAGCCACGGCAGUCAACUCGCGCCGUGAGGACAGCCAGGUGGCUCACAAGCAAACAGCUAUGGAAACUGGCAUCAUCUGUGCACUGACAGACAAUGGUGUAAUGAGAAGUGAAAGUGUGGACUGAUGACCAAGUCACUGCGUUACACAGAUCAACAAUUGGUACUCAAGCCAGGAAAUCUGCAGAAGCUGUUUGUGCUCUAGUAGAAUGUGCUGGUUCUGGAGAUGGUGGGGUUUUGUUACACAGUUGGUAGCACAAAUGGAUGCAGAGAGAUCCAGGAGGAGAUU